AGAACGCUUUAUAUAUACCACUUAUAUCAGUUGAACCAAAAGCUCUAAAUUGAAAAAAUCCUAAAAUUGGAUAUGUGAUUCGCAGCAAAGCAACAAAUCCUCUUUCCUGCAGUCUCGAUUCUCAGCAUUUCCAUCUCAUUCGCUUGUUCGAUCUCGAAUCUCCAACUUUAGGUAAUGGGUAUUGAUGUUGUUUUGGGUUUUAAGUGAUGGGGUUAGCGUGUUACUGUUUUGGGUUAUAGGUGAUAGGGUCAUCAUGUUAUUGCUUUGGGUUUUAGAUGAUGGGGUUUGUUUUAUGUUUAGGUGUUUCUUUGGGCUCUGUUAUGUACUUGUAUUGUAUUGAGAUGUUAAUGAAAUGGUACACUUUUGGCACAA